CGCGUGGGAACGUACCCUUUACUACGGAAUAGCCUCUGGAACGGAGGGUAAUACCGUAUGUGCCCUUUGGGGGAAAGGAUUUAUCGGUAAAGGAUCGGCCCGCGUUAGAUUAGGUAGUUGGUGGGGUAAGUGGCCUACCAAGCCUACGAUCUAUAGCUGGUUUGAGAGGGUGAUCAGCCACACUGGGACUGAGACACGGUCCAGACUCCUACGGGAGGCAGCAGUGGGGAAUAUUGCACAAUGGGCGCAAGCCUGAUGCAGCCAUACCGCGUGUGUGAAAGAAGGCUUUCGGGUUGUAAA
rnacentral:rRNA from 1 species